rnacentral:misc_RNA from 1 species
CCUUUUCCUGUUCUUGAGAGGGCCUCUCAAGAACAGGAAAAGGUAGAAAAUUCGCUUUAUAUGAAAACCCCCAAAACACUCGACACCAGAACAAGUCCUUUUUGGUCUCAAACGCAUCGAAACAGCUGGAAACCACAGAUUUAACCUCUGCUGGAAACAGCAGAGAAGCAUAUAGCAGAAAAAACCACAACAGAGAGAAGCAAAGCAAAUAGAAAGAGUUGAACAAGCGGAAGGAAUAAACCAGAGCUGCGACAGAGCCCCAAUCAAAGGCCAAAUCAAAACUAGCCGACAUAAAUCCGCUACUGAGAACACAGAACCUCUCGAGUUCUAGCUUCCUUCAAGCAGAGAACAAAAAGCCAAGCGAAAGAAUGAGCUAGUGAUAAAUAUAGUGAAACAGCUAAACCCCUCGGUGUGAUAAAUAAAUAACUAAAUAAAUAAAAUAAAAGGGGUUACGAAUCUACGGCUACGAUUUCGCUCUUCAGAACAUUGACAACCAUCAAUAGAUAGUUAUUAUCGUUCUCACAAAGAAUUAACCAUAGUUAAACCUCACUGACACAAUGGAG